AAGCACUUCCAUUUUCAAUUUCAGACGACCAUUAACAUCAUCAUAAAAGACAUACAAACUCAUAUAUAUGUUAUCAAAUUACCUACAAAUACCUCAAUCACACCUCGCAAGACGCAAAUCGUUCUAAAAAAUAAAGAUUAGCAACCAAAAAAAGCAUACAAAACGAUACACGAAUAAAUCAAGAGAGCACUAGAGACAAAAAUCACAAGAGGCACAACAGCAGCGAAACUAUCCCCACUUCCACAAGCCAAAGUUCCGAGCUUGAACUGAACCACAUUA
rnacentral:misc_RNA from 1 species